rnacentral:rRNA from 1 species
GAUGAUUAUUGGGCCUAAAGCAUCCGUAGCCGGCUCUGUAAGUUUUCGGUUAAAUCUAUGCGCUCAACGUAUGGGCUGCCGAAAAUACUGCAGAGAUAGGGAGUGGGAGAGGUAGACGGUACUCGGUAGGAAGGGGUAAAAUCCUUUGAUCUAUCGAUGACCACCUGUGGCGAAGGCGGUCUACCAGAACACGUUCGACGGUGAGGGAUGAAAGCUGGGGGAGCAAACCGGAUUAGAUACCCGGGUAGUCCCAGCUGUAAACGAUGCAGACUCGAUGAUGCAUUGGCAUAUAGCCAGUGCAGUGUCGCAGGGAAGCCGUUAAGUCUGCCGCCUGGGAAGUACGUACGCAAGUAUGAAACUUAAAGGAAUUGGCGGGGGAGCACCACAAGGGGUGAAGCCUGCGGUUCAAUUGGAGUCAACGCCAGAAAUCUUACCCGGAGAGACAGCAGAAUGAAGGUCAAGCUGAAGACUUUACCAGACAAGCUGAGAGGUGGUGCAUGGCCGUCGCCAGCUCGUGCCGUGAGAUGUCCUGUUAAGUCAGGUAACGAGCGAGAUCCCUGCCACUAGUUGCUAUCAUUAUUCUCAGGAAUAGUGGGGCGAAUUAGUGGGACUGCCGUUGUUAAAACGGAGGAAGGGGCUACGGCAGGUCAGUAUGCCCCGAAACUCUGGGGCCACACGCGGGCUGCAAUGGUAGCGACAAUGAGUUCCAAACUCGAAAGAGUGUGGCAAUCCCUAAACGCUACCACAGUUAUGACUGAGGGCUGUAACUCGCCCUCACGAAUAUGGAAUCCCUAGUAACCGCGUGUCAUUACCGCGCGGUGAAUACGUCCCUGCUCCUUGCACACACCGCCCGUC